GGGCAUUUGGUCGAGUGGUUUAUGGCACCCGUCUUGAAAACGGGAACUCCAAAAGAGUCGUGAGUUCAAAUCUCACAGUGCCCG